UCACCAUCCUGCCCGGGUCUCUUUCCGCAGAAAGUGACGGACGGUGUCAGCAGGUCACCUUCGUGGUGUCAGGUAACGUGAGCUCCAGUGCACUGGCCACAGUCAAAACCAGUCCGCUAAUGGGCCAGUUCCAGGAAUCCCCCACCUGCAACAGAGACACUCCAACCACUACAAGCACUCCAACCACUACAAGCACUACAACCACUACAAGCACUACAACCACUACAGCUCCGCCUUCUAGAGCUGACGGCUUGUGGCCUGGCGAUACAGCCCUGAUGUUCUCUGUGGUUGCUCCCAUGUUUCUUCGACUGAUGAUCCAACAUUAACUUACUCACAAAGCAUGACCGUCCUCAACGUCCUGUUAUAACCUGGGGACGUGAACCAAG
ensembl:lncRNA